rnacentral:lncRNA from 1 species
ACUUUUCUCUUGGCCAAAAUAACAAAACACAAUAAUUUACUAUCCAGUUAAAAUUUAGAACUAGUACAAGUUCUCCUGCAGAAUUAAUUUUCAGAAAAAAUGACCCAAAAAGCAAAGAGAAGUCAUGCCUCAAAACAUUCUCUUCAUCCCCUCGCGGUUUCUUGCCUCAUUCACGGCUACUGGCGAUGUCCCAGACCCAGUACGAAUUUAACAGAGCGUUGCCUUGCUUACAAUUAUUUGUCAGCUCAUUAAUGAGACAUCAAAGAUAGGGCCCCUUCCUAAAUUCUGAAAUUCAGCAAUGAAUACUUCAUAUUGCUUAGAAGGAGAGAUCUUCACAAAGGACCCACCAAAAGUUUUGAAAUGACUGAAAAGAACAAUAAAAAUAUAAAGACUACUGGAUCAUGUGCAACUGUAGAGGAUAACGAGGAAACUAGAACUUUGUAACAUUGAGUUCCUCAGACAACCAUAACUCUGGUCUUUGCUUAUAGAUUCCACUAGCUACAGAUCCAUUGAGUUUCUCCUUAACAAAUUUUCAAACUAAGGAAAUGAACUCCUAGAUAAGCAUAGGUUAGCGGGGAUCAUCCCGCAGUCUCUAAGAAGAGGAUACUUGAGUUAAAAGGAAAAAUGGGGAAAAAAAUUAAACUAGCCAAACCCAACAAAGCAACCUGAGGAAGUAGAUUGAGUUGCUCAACAGAAGUACUUACUGGAAGGCAAUAUGUAGCCUCUUGAAAAAGAAUCUAUAUGAACAUAUCUUUCCGUUAGAAUUGAGAAA